AUUGAACGCUGGCGGCAGGCUUAACACAUGCAAGUCGAGCGGAGAUGAGGUGCUUGCACCUUAUCUUAGCGGCGGACGGGUGGGUAAUACUUAGGAAUCUGCCUAUUAGUGGGGGACAACAUUCCGAAAGGAAUGCUAAUACCGCAUACGUCCUACGGGAGAAAGCAGGGGAUCUUCGGACCUUGCGCUAAUAGAUGAGCCUAAGUCGGAUUAGCUAGUUGGUGGGGUAAAGGCCUACCAAGGCGACGAUCUGUAGCGGGUCUGAGAGGAUGAUCCGCCACGCUGGGACUGAGACACGGCCCAGACUCCUACGGGAGGCAGCAGUGGGGAAUAUUGGACAAUGGGGGAAACCCUGAUCCAGCCAUGCCGCGUGUGUGAAGAAGGCCUUAUGGUUGUAAAGCACUUUAAGCGAGGAGGAGGCUACUGAGACUAAUACUCUUGGAUAGUGGACGUUACUCGCAGAAUAAGCACCGGCUAACUCUGUGCCAGCCGCCGCAGUAA
rnacentral:rRNA from 1 species